UGGGGAAUAUUGGGCAAUGGGCGCAAGCCUGACCCAGCCACGCCGCGUGAGUGAUGAAGGCCUUCGGGUCGUAAAGCUCUGUGGGGAGAGAAGAAUAAACCGGUGGAACAAUACCCGCUGGUCUUGACGGUAUCUCCUUAGCAAGCACCGGCUAACUCCGUGCCAGCAGCCGCGGUAAUACGGAGGGUGCAAACGUUGCUCGGAAUUAUUGGGCGUAAAGCGAACGUAGGCGGUCCGAUAAGUCGGAUGUGAAAGCCCUCGGCUUAACCGAGGAAGUGCAUUCGAAACUGCCGGACUUGAGUACAGUAGAGGGUCGCGGAAUUCCCGGUGUAGAGGUGAAAUUCGUAGAUAUCGGGAGGAACACCAGUGGCGAAGGCGGCGACCUGGGCUGACACUGACGCUGAGGUUCGAAAGCGUGGGGAGCAAACAGGAUUAGAUACCCCCGUAGUCC
rnacentral:rRNA from 1 species